GGGCUUGUGGUUUAGUGGUAGUAAGUUUUCGUCUCAUCGGUUUUCAGCUCAACGGCAUCUAACAAUUUGAUUAGUAAUUUUCCCUUAGCAUGGGAAAGGUCCUGGGUUCGAUUCCCAGCAAGUCCA
rnacentral:tRNA from 1 species